UACGAAGGGUGCUAGCGUUGUUCGGAUUCACUGGGCGUAAAGGGUGCGUAGGUGGUGAGGAAAGUCGGAUGUGAAAUCUCCGGGCUUAACCCGGAAAUGGCAUUGGAAACUACCUUGCUAGAGGUUUUGAGGGGGGGACUGGAAUUCUCGGUGUAGCAGUGAAAUGCGUAGAUAUCGAGAGGAACACCAGUGGCGAAGGCGAGUCCCUGGAAAACACCUGACACUGAGACACGAAAGCCAGGGGAGCAAACGGG
rnacentral:rRNA from 1 species